UACAGAGGUCUCAAGCGUUGUUCGGAUUCAUUGGGCGUAAAGCGUACCGAUAGGUGGUUGUAUAAGUCAGAAGUGAAAUCUCCGAGCUCAACUCGGAAUCUGUCUUUUGAAACUAUACAACUAGAGGGGCAAAGAGGAAGCUGGAACGAACGGUGUAGUAGUGAAAUGCGUUGAUAUCGUUCGGAACACCAAUAGCGUAGGCAGGCUUCUGGGUGCCACCUGACACUGCUAGGACGAAAGCGUGGGGAGCGAAUGGG
rnacentral:rRNA from 1 species